GAUGAACGCUGGCGGCGUGCCUAAUACAUGCAAGUCGAGCGAACAGACGAGGAGCUUGCUCCUCUGACGUUAGCGGCGGACGGGUGAGUAACACGUGGAUAACCUACCUAUAAGACUGGGAUAACUUCGGGAAACCGGAGCUAAUACCGGAUAAUAUAUUGAACCGCAUGGUUCAAUAGUGAAAGACGGUUUUGCUGUCACUUAUAGAUGGAUCCGCGCCGCAUUAGCUAGUUGGUAAGGUAACGGCUUACCAAGGCAACGAUGCGUAGCCGACCUGAGAGGGGGAUCGGCCACCCGGGAGGUGAGACACGGUCCAGACUCCUACGGGAGGGAGCAGUCGGGAACCUGACGCAAUGGGGGAAAGCCUGACGGAGCAGCGCCGCGUGAGUGAUGAAGGUCUUCGGAUCGUAAAACCCUGUUACUAGGGAAGAACAAAUGUGUAAGUAACUAUGCACGUCUUGACGGUACCUAAUCAGAAAGCCACGGCUAACUACGUG
rnacentral:rRNA from 1 species